AGGGUUUGAUUCUGGCUCAGGAUGAACGCUGGCGGCGUGCCUAACACAUGCAAGUCGAACGGAGUUUUAUGAGGAAGUUUUCGGAUGGAAUUAUGAAACUUAGUGGCGGACGGGUGAGUAACGCGUGGGAAACCUGCCCUGUACUGGGGGAUAACACUUAGAAAUAGGUGCUAAUACCGCAUAAGCGCACAGAGCUGCAUGGCUCGGUGUGAAAAACUCCGGUGGUAUGGGAUGGGCCCGCGUCUGAUUAGGCAGUUGGCGGGGUAACGGCCCACCAAACCGACGAUCAGUAGCCGGCCUGAGAGGGCGACCGGCCACAUUGGGACUGAGACACGGCCCAA
rnacentral:rRNA from 1 species